AAAUUGAAGAGUUUGAUCAUGGCUCAGAUUGAACGCUGGCGGCAGGCCUAACACAUGCAAGUCGAACGGUAACAGGAAGCAGCUUGCUGUUUCGCUGACGAGUGGCGGACGGGUGAGUAAUGUCUGGGAAACUGCCUGAUGGAGGGGGAUAACUACUGGAAACGGUAGCUAAUACCGCAUAACGUCGCAAGACCAAAGAGGGGGACCUUCGGGCCUCUUGCCAUCGGAUGUGCCCAGAUGGGAUUAGCUAGUAGGUGGGGUAACGGCUCACCUAGGCGACGAUCCCUAGCUGGUCUGAGAGGAUGACCAGCCACACUGGAACUGAGACACGGUCCAGACUCCUACGGGAG
rnacentral:rRNA from 1 species